rnacentral:rRNA from 1 species
GAUGAACGCUAGCGGGAGGCUUAACACAUGCAAGUCGAGGGGUAACAUGAGGUAGCAAUACUUUGAUGACGACCGGCGCACGGGUGAGUAACGCGUAUGUAACCUACCUUGUACAGGGGGAUAGCCCGGAGAAAUUCGGAUUAAUACCCCAUAAUGAUAUCUGAAGGCAUCUUUAGGUAUUUAAAGUUUCGACGGUACGAGAUGGGCAUGCGUGACAUUAGCUAGUUGGUAAGGUAACGGCUUACCAAGGCUGCGAUGUCUAGGGGUCCUGAGAGGGUGAACCCCCACACUGGUACUAAGACACGGACCAGACUCCUACGGGAGGCAGCAGUGAGGAAUAUUGGUCAAUGGGCGUAAGCCUGAACCAGCCAUCCCGCGUGAAGGAAGAAGGCGCUAUGCGUCGUAAACUUCUUUUCCGGAGGAAUAAAAUUUCGUACGUGUACGGGACUGAAGGUACUCCGGGAAUAAGCAUCGGCUAACUCCGUGCCAGCCGCCGCGGUAAAAC